CUAUUCCUGGAAUGUGCGACACUCUUGCUAUUUUGAACCUACAUUCAUGAAUAAGGGAUACCAAUAUUUAUGAGAAUAUGCCAGGCCAUCGUUUGGAGUGGAAGGCAGACGCUUGUGUGAGGUAACCCACCUAGCUAUAGCUAGGAGUCAAAAUACAGGAAACGGCAUUUUGGGGUAAUU
rfam:Anaerosporobacter mobilis DSM 15930 genome assembly, contig: EJ17DRAFT_scaffold00012.12